rnacentral:lncRNA from 1 species
GCUUCACUUAUUAUCUUUCGAAUGAGUUGGCUUCCUUGGACCACCAUCUUUUUUUCCGUCUCUUUCUGUCGAAUGGCCCAAGAAUCCAACCAAAAGCAACAAAGAAAUAUUAUGUUAGCAGGAUCAAUUAAACUUUUUUCACCAAAAAACCAAUCAUUUCUGGUUCUCCAAAUAGCCCAAAACAAAGCCCCACAGCCAAAAAUCAGAAGACUUGACAUUUUGUUUUUAGGAUUUUUCAUCCAGCUAUCACACACUUCAUCAAUAUUUUUUGGAAUGUAAUCCAACUUAAGGGCAAUUUGAAUCACUCUCCAGACAAAUCUGGCAACUGAGCAUUUAAAAAAUAAGUGAUCAAUUGAUUCCAAGCCACCACAGAAACAACAAUCAUCAGAACCUUUCCAAUUUCUUUUUUUCAGAUUGUCUUUUGUAAGGAUUUUGUUUCUAAUCACCAGCCACAGAAAAACUUUGAUUUUUUGUGGUAAUUUGGAUUUCCAUAGAAAUCUGUAGGGAACUUUGAUCUGAUCCAAAGAAUUUUUCUUAUACAAAGAAUUGACAGUGAAUCCUUUAUUGCCCAAUCUCCAAACAGGUUUAUCUUCAUGACUUGACAAACUAAAACCAGAACAUAAAGUCACUAACUCAUCAAAAAGCCCCUGAAGGUUGCCAGUCAUUCUUCUUCUGAAGGAAAGAGCCUCAAAAUCUGAAGACAAAACUUUAAACACCUAAAUGUCUUUGUCUGCAGCUAAAUCAAACAGAAUGGGAAAUCUCAAGGCCAGAGGUCCAUCACCAAUCCAGAAAUUUUUCCAAAAACUAGUACGAUGGCCAUUACCAACUGACAUCUUACAGUGUUUAAAGAAACUCUCCCUAAGCUUUAAGAGUUUUUUCCAAAAAUGAGAGUCAGUCUGUCUUUGAUUAACAGAAAUAAGGGGUUUUCCCUUAAUAUAUUUUUCAGCAAUUAUUUUCUGCCAUAAACCAUUAGUAUUUUCCAAAUUCCAAAGCCAUUUGGAUAGCAGCGCAUCAUUCAUAAAACCCAAAUUCAACACACCUAAACCCCCUAAGCUUUUGGAGGAGCAAACUGUCUGCCAAUUAACCAAGUGCAUCUUUUUUGCCUGUGAACCACCUUGCCAAAGAAGAUUUUUUCUGAAUAAAUCCAAUUUUCUAGUAACCGAUUUAGGAGCCGGAUAAAUCGAUAACAUGUACAGAGGUACAUUAGAAAGCGAACUGUUCAAAAGGGUCAAUCUGCCUCCCAGACUCAAGAACCUCCCUUUCCAACCAGCCAGCCUUUUGUCCAUUUUUUCCAACAUAGAACACCAAAGAGAUUUACUAAUCUUCUUAUUGUCAAUUGGCACACCAAGGUAUUUCAUUGGAAGGCUACCAAUAGGACACGUAAAAAUGUCAGCAUAUAAAUCAGUGAAUUCUUUAGCAUCACCCAAGCAAAAAAUUUCACUUUUGUGAAAAUUAAUUUUCAAUCCAGACAUAUGUUCAAAAAGACAAAGAAUGAAUUUAAGAUUUCUCGCUCCUUCUAAACAAUCUUGAAUCAUAAAAAUAGUAUCAUCAGCAUAUUGAAGACAACAACAACCAUUUGGAAUGAUGUGAGGAAUCAAACCACAAAUCAGACCUUUUUCCUGAGCUUGAUGUAUGAUGCUAGCCAAACCAUCUGCCACCAGAUUAAACAACAGGGGUGAAAAAGGAUCACCCUGACGAACUCCUUUAUGAGUUGCAAAAUAAGGACCAAUUAAAUCAUUUGUCCUGAUGGCCACUUUACCAUCUCUGACAGUCAUCAUAACCCAAUCACUCCAAAUGUCCCCAAAACCCUUUUUUUGCAUCAUACAAUACAAGAAUUGCCAGUUAACUUUAUCAUAAGCUUUUUCAAAAUCAAUUUUAAGAAUUACUCCACUUUGCUUUCUUUUUUUCACUUCAUGAAGAAUUUCAUUCAAAGAAACCACACCAUCCAUGAUAUAUCUCCCUUUAAUGAAACCAUAUUGAUUAGAGCUAAUCACAGAAGUAAUACAAGAUGCAAGUCUAUUCGUCAGAACUUUAGUAAUGAUUUUAUAACAAACAUUUAAAAGACAGAUCGGUCUAAAAUUCCUCAUAUACGUAGGAUUAUCAAUUUUAGGAAUCAAAGUAACAAGACCAAAGUUAAGUCUUUUAAUGUCGAGAACCCCAUUAUAAAAGUCUUUGAUUAAAUUCCAUAGAUCAUUAUGGAUGAUCUCCCAAGAAUAUGGCUAACUUGUGGUUGCUAAAUGUUAUAGCAUUUACCUUGUGGUUUUUGUACAUCACUGAAUGUUCAGCUGCAAGUUGAAAAAUUUUUAAUCCUCUAUUUUAUUGUCACUGCAGGCCUUUGGUUUCACUUGCGUAUCCUCUGUAAGUUAACCCACUAACCUUUUAGAUAAACAUAUAGACACUAACUGUAUUCCGUUUGAUGGUUAUUGCUUCUGUUUUACCUCAUUGGCCAUUUUCCACAGGUAUGCCUCUGUUAGAGCAAUUGAAACAAAAUCUGCUGUGGAUGAUCAGCAAUGGCUCACGUACUGGGUGCUGUACUCAUUUAUCACUCUAUUCGAGCUCACCUUUGCUCCGGUACUCGAAUGGUAAAACAACAAACUUUCAGCACAAGUGGGCAUUUCACCAGCUUUAGUUCCAUGUGCAGUUUGGAACUUACCAUAAUGGUCAUAUGUGGUAUAUUUUUUAGGGCUAUAAACAAUAGUACCUUAAUUUCUUUGCUAGUGACCUUAAAUGGUUUAGGGCCUGUUUGAAUGCACUAGAGCUAAUGGUUAGUUUGCUAAAAAAUUGCUAGUGGAAUUAGCUGGCUAACGAAUAGCUAACUAUUAGCUAAUUUACUAAACGUAGCUAAUAGCUGAACUAUUAGCUAGAUUGUUUGGUUGUCUUUAGUUAUUUUUAGCAGCUAACUAUUGCACUUUGCAGGCUUCCUUUCUGGUCUUAUGCAAAGCUGUUCUUCAAUUGCUGGUUAGUAUUGCCACAGUUCAAUGGAGCUGCACAUGUAUAUGAGCAUUUUGUGAGGCCAAUGAUUGUAAAUCAGCAAGUUGUAAACAUCUGGUAUAUUCCAAAGAAGGAUGAAUCAAGUAGACCUGAUGAUGUAAUUUCAGCUGCACAGAGGUACAUUGAGCAAAAUGGAUCAAAAGCGUUUGAGAAUCUUGUUAACAAGGUAUUAUCUGUUUCCUGUUAAAUUUUACCAUUCUCUUUUGUGAAAAUAGUGGACACUUGCACCAGUUAGGUUUUUUUUUGUGCUGUGAGAAGCACAGAAAAAUGACUCUACAAGUCUACAGUGAUGAUGCUGCCCUAGUGUUUAAUGAUAUUGCAGUGUGGUUUUUAUUAUCCAUACUACGGAAUUCAGUUAACAACUGUCAUUGUGUUCUAUCAAAUAUUGUUUCUGUGAUUUCCUACAUUCUAAAAAAAUCAACAACUGGGGAAGGACUGCCUCCAUGGUUUUGCACAUUUUCACAUUCUUAGGCCUUUAAACCUUACUGAAAUGCUUAUUACCAGAAUGAGCUUUAAGUAGAUCAAAUAGCUGGGCUUUAUCUUGCAGAAAUUGUGUAAGGAACCCUCUACAACAAAACCGAGGGAAAAAUUAGGGGACCUAGAGUUUGACAACGUGUGGUGCUCUUGUCAGCUUGGUUCACUCUUGCAGCUUUUAGGCAUAAUUCAUUCAGUUUUCUUGUUGAGCCUAACACAAAACUGAAUAAAAGCUGGCUUGUUGAGCUUAACACAAAACUGAAUAAGCAUUUUUUUAGAUGAAGUCUAACUUUCAGCCUUGGCAUCAAAACUGAAUCAAUUAGUUAAUGAAAAUCAAAGGGACACGGUCCCUUAGCAGUUAGCAAGUGUUCUUUUAUUUCAUUGCCCAAAAGAUGGAAACAUCAACAUCAUUUUACUGUUUAUAGAAUCACAAUGCUUUCAGCUGUUGCGCAUCCCAGUGACCUAGUCCAAUUUUUAUUGCAAGGAACUGUUUGUAGCUCGCAUUUAUCUUUGGUUUACUUCCUCGAAUAUUUUAUUUACAUCAAGGGAUCUUAGAGUUCAUCUUGAAAAAUAAAAGAGCAGCUUAGGAACAUAAACAUUCCUUUUUUUUACAUCGUGCAGUUUAAGAGUUCGAACCCAAGGCGCUCAAUUCUGGAGGAGGUAGAGGUUGAAAGGAGGGCCAGGAUUCAACUAGAAUCUGAAGCGAGGGAAGUGAACCCUUUCUUCAAUCCAGAAUAUCAGUACUAGGCAACCAUUUUCCCUUCACUUGCCAGGUGAGCGUAGCUGCAUGAUUUGUGUUCUCCUGCCCCAUUGAUGUUUCGGAGCCUUACAUGUUCUGUUUUCUUGGGGAAAAAUGUGUUCCUUUGCAAGGUAACCUUUCUAAGUUUUUUUGUGCUUUGAUAAUUGAUACUCAAUGCAGGAAUGUGCUAGGAUCGGUUUGGAGGAAGAUGUCUGGAUAUUAGGAUUGCGUUUUGCACCUACUGAAUCGAUGAUAUUGUGUAGAUGGACAACCAUAAUUGUUGUAGAUAUGUUGUGGCGAUGGAACUCAUGUAAUGGUCAUGUCGCGAAUGUUUCAUGCUGCUGGAAAUUAUGUAUUCACACUGGACUCUAGUUAUGUGCCUCACUAGUUUCUUGAAGGUAGUUGUUGAACUAGGUACUAGUAACGGGUGCGCGCUUUGCGCGCAUGGUAAACAAUAUGCAAUAUUGUUUUUAAGUUAAUUAUUAAUGCUUGUUAUAAUUCAUAUAUUGCCAGACGAAUAAAGCAAGAAUAAAGCGAGAGAGUUUUUUUUAAGAUGAUACAGAGCAUGAAAGACAGUAUAGAGCACAACAGAUUUAUAUAAAAUAAAAUAGAGUUAAGUGAGUUGUGGCCGAAGGUAAUAUGUUUGUUGCGAUAUUUAAAGCUACCUUGUUAUAUUUAUAUGAAAUGUCUUUAGAAGAGUUGAACAGUUAUAUAUAAUUAUAGAGGACAUUCUACAAACUUAAAGGUUGCUAAUAAUCUGAGAAAAUCUUCGGUUCUUGGAAGAUCUGGUGUCCAACUUUUCUUUGAUGCGCAGGGGUCCAUAUUUGAACCUGUAUAGUUGGGAAACAAAGAAUUUUAAUAUCUUCGUUUAUGGAAGUAGAAGAGAAAGGGAUAGAAGUGUUCAGCAUAAAUGGUUACCACAAUUAAUAUCUAUUUUCUAUUUGUAUGUAUAUGUGGUAUUAAAUUUUGGAUAAGUUAAAUAUGGGGAAAAUAUGUGUGAAAGAAAUAUAGUUUUGGAUAAGUUCACUUUUGUAGUCGCAAUAAUUACCAAAGAAAAAUGGAAUGAUACUUUUAUAAUAGAAAGAAAAUAAUACAUGUAAGAUAUUGUGUAGCAGAGUAUAACCUUUUUGGGGGAGAUUCAAUUGUAGCUGCUAUACCAUUUUCCUUGUCGUCGUCAAGUAUUGCAUCAUGUUGUAUAUGUAAAAAUUAUUCAUAAAGAAGUGGCAAGAAAGUAAUGGUAUUUGUUAAAUGUAAAUGUAAAUAAAAGUGUGAAGCAAUAUUAUCUAUAACUGUGUCUAUUAGUUAUAGGUUUCGAAAGAUGAAUAGCUAGAAAAGGAAGCAAUAGAUUUUGUUGGACAACAAAAUUUUAAUACAGUGUUUGAAUAUGAACAUAAGAUAGUUUAGAUUUAAUAACAACGAAUGCUAUCAUUCAUGAUAAGAAUAAUUUAUGUUACAAUCUGUUAUGAAAUAGCAUGUUGUUGUAAUUUUCUUCAAACUCAUCAUACUAAUAUUAUCUGUUACAUAUGAAUUGUGCACAAAGAUUAAAUGAUAGUGCGUAGAAUGGAGUGAUUUCAGAGCAUUAGACUGUGUCAUUGUUAUUUGUUAUAAGAACUGUGUAUAUAUAGAGUAAGUGUUUGUGUGAACGAUCAUAGACAAAGAGAAAUACGAAUUAAUGUAAGGAGAAUGGUGAAAGUGGCUAUUGCUGCUUUCGCUGCUAGACGACGGCUUCUUUUUGAGCUCUCAUUUUGCAUCUGUGUGAUCUUCUUUCCCCUGAGCGAGCAGCGACAGCAGGCCGGCUUGCUGAUCGCUCGCUCUCAGGAGCCUUUACGCGAGAGCAAGUCACCACUGUGUUCUAAUAUUUUACAGAUGCACUGCAAUAACCCUGAAACUGUAACUUUGUGAGACCGUAAAUACAAGAUCUGUUAAACAGCCAACUCUGUUUAUAUACACUACCUCUGCAUCAUGACCUACAAAGCAAAGCAUGUGGGAUGUCAAACGAAAUUACUGAUUGUACAUUCGCUCAUUCAGUAGCAUAUUAUACAACAGGCACUACCAGUAGCUCUGAGCUCCAAUGCAUCGAAAGUUUCAGUCGCUAGGCACAUUUUAAUCAGAUGCAUUGAACACCGAUGGUAUGGUUGACAAACAAAAAACCUAUCUCCUCUCUAUCUAUCAGUGUGAGGAGUAGUCAUGUGUAAAUCUAUAGCACAUUAUUGGAAACUGGAGCAUGUACUAAAAUAUGCACUCCAGCACUAAAUCAGUUGCAAACUUCCAGUAGGUUAUGCAUCAAGGAAAAUAUAUAAUAAUGGUGUCAGUGUGAAGGAGCAGUCAUGUGUACAUGUGUAGCACGUUAUUGAAAAUGGAGCUUAUAUUAAAAAAAUCUGCAUUCCAGCACAUUACUGGAAAUCGGAGUAUAUUAUACUAAAAUCUGUAUUCCAAAUAUCUAUUUAGGCAUUUGAUCGAACAUCUUGCGCGCAUGGUGCACACCAGCAACAGCUCGCUUCCAAUAGCAGUAGGAGACAUGUGAGCUCUCCGCCCUUCGCCUUGUCGCAGCUCCAUCAUUCAGAUCCGACAUGGACUGACUUCCUCUCGUCCGGGUUAAGGAGAAGAGCGAGGGCGAAGGCGACAUUCACGGCGGCAAAUAUUCGAGACUUUGGAAAACCAUAGAUACCGGUACACACUACUGAGGAAGAAGAAAAGGCAAUAAUAAGGUGUUGGAUGAACCAGCUUCAGGCACGGGCUGACUCCCUAUCAUCUGGGUUAGGGAGAAGAGCGAGGACGAGGGCGACAUUGACGGCCGCGAAGAUCGAUAGACUGGAAAAUCGUAGAUACUGGUUUGCGCUACUGAGGAAGAAAAAAUGGUCAUAAGGUGUUGGAUGAACCUGCAGAAGCUAUGGAGGCGAACGCAGCGCACAAGGAGCGAGGACGCACGGCCGUUGGUCUCCGGCGUCGUCGUCGCCCUCGCUGGAGACGCCAGGCCAUUUGAGAGGAGGCCCUUUUGGGGACGGAGGUGCCCUUUCUGGAAGGCUGUAGGCGUAGGUAAGCUGAGAAGGAACCGCCUCCGUUGAUGAAACAUCGUGCGGA